CACGUAGGGGGCAAGCGUUGUCCGGAAUCAUUGGGCGUAAAGAGCGUGUAGGCGGCCCGAUAAGUCCGCUGUGAAAGUCCAGGGCUCAACCCUGGAAUGCCGGUGGAUACUGUCGGGCUCGAAUCCGGAAGAGGUGAGUGGAAUUCCUGGUGUAGCGGUGAAAUGCGCAGAUAUCAGGAGGAACACCAAUGGCGAAGGCAGCUCACUGGGACGGUAUUGACGCUGAGACGCGAAAGCGUGGGGAGCAAACAGG
rnacentral:rRNA from 1 species